AGACCCCGUGAACCUUUACUAUAGCUUGACACUGAACAUUGAGCCUUGAUGUGUAGGAUAGGUGGGAGGCUUUGAAGUGUGGACGCCAGUCUGCAUGGAGCCGACCUUGAAAUACCACCCUUUAAUGUUUGAUGUUCUAACGUUGGCCCGUAAUCCGGGUUGCGGACAGUGUCUGGUGGGUAGUUUGACUGGGGCGGUCUCCUCCUAAAGAGUAACGGAGGAGCACGAAGGUUGGCUAAUCCUGGUCGGACAUCAGGAGGUUAGUGCAAUGGCAUAAGCCAGCUUGACUGCGAGCGUGACGGCGCGAGCAGGUGCGAAAGCAGGUCAUAGUGAUCCGGUGGUUCUGAAUGGAAGGGCCAUCGCUCAACGGAUAAAAGGUACUCCGGGGAUAACAGGCUGAUACCGCCCAAGAGUUCAUAUCGACGGCGGUGUUUGGCACCUCGAUGUCGGCUCAUCACAUCCUGGGGCUGAAGUAGGUCCCAAGGGUAUGGCUGUUCGCCAUUUAAAGUGGUACGCGAGCUGGGUUUAGAACGUCGUGAGACAGUUCGGUCCCUAUCUGCCGUGGGCGCUGGAGAACUGAGGGGGGCUGCUCCUAGUACGAGAGGACCGGAGUGGACGCAUCACUGGUGUUCGGGUUGUCAUGCCAAUGGCACUGCCCGGUAGCUAAAUGCGGAAGAGAUAAGUGCUGAAAGCAUCUAAGCACGAAACUUGC
rnacentral:rRNA from 1 species